ACCGGGAUUGCCCUAGUAACGGCGAGUGAAGCGGCAAGAGCUCAAAUUUGAAAGCUGGCCCCCUCGGGGUCCGCAUUGUAAUUUGCAGAGGAUGCUUCGGGAGCGGUCCCCAUCUAAGUGCCCUGGAACGGGCCGUCAUAGAGGGUGAGAAUCCCGUAUGGGAUGGGGUGCCCGCGCCCGUGUGAAGCUCCUUCGACGAGUCGAGUUGUUUGGGAAUGCAGCUCUAAUUGGGUGGUAAAUUUCAUCUAAAGCUAAAUAUUGGCCGGAGACCGAUAGCGCACAAGUAGAGUGAUCGAAAGAUGAAAAGCACUUUGAAAAGAGAGUUAAACAGCACGUGAAAUUGUUGAAAGGGAAGCGCUUGCGAUCAGACUCGCCCACGGGGUUCAGCCGGCAUUCGUGCCGGUGUACUUCCCCGCGGGCGGGCCAGCGUCGGUUUGGGCGGUCGGUCAAAGGCCCCUGGAAUGUAACGCCUCUCGGGGCGUCUUAUAGCCAGGGGUGCCAUGCGACCUGCCCGGACCGAGGAACGCGCUUCGGCUCGGACGCUGGCAUAAUGGUCGUAAGCGACCCGUCUUGAAACACGGACCAAGGAGUCUAACAUCUACGCGAGUGUUCGGGUGUCAAACCCGUGCGCGCAGUGAAAGCGAACGGAGGUGGGAACCCUCACGGGUGCACCAUCGACCGAUCCUGAUGUCUUCGGAUGGAUUUGAGUAAGAGCGUAGCUGUUGGGACCCGAAAGAUGGUGAACUAUGCCUGAAUAGGGCGAAGCCAGAGGAAACUCUGGUGGAGGCUCGCAGCGGUUCUGACGUGCAAAUCGAUCGUCAAAUUUGGGUAUAGGGGCGAAAGACUAAUCGAACCAUCUAGUAGCUGG
rnacentral:rRNA from 1 species